rnacentral:tRNA from 1 species
GCGGGAUUAGUAUAGUGGUAGUACGUGACCUUCCCAAGGUUAAGGUGCCGGUUCGAUUCCGGUAUCCCGCU